rnacentral:rRNA from 1 species
UACGGGGGGGGCAAGCGUUGUUCGGAAUUACUGGGCGUAAAGGGCUCGUAGGCGGCCAACUAAGUCAGACGUGAAAUCCCUCAGCUUAACUGGGGAACUGCGUCUGAUACUGGGUGGCUUGAGUUCGGGAGAGGGAUGCGGAAUUCCAGGUGUAGCGGUGAAAUGCGUAGAUAUCUGGAGGAAUACCGGUGGCGAAGGCGGCAUCCUGGACCGGCAUUGACGCUGAGGAGCGAAAGCCAGGGGAGCAAACGGG